GACGAACGCUGGCGGCGUGCUUAACACAUGCAAGUCGAACGGAAAGGCCCUGCUUUUGUGGGGUGCUCGAGUGGCGAACGGGUGAGUAACACGUGAGUAACCUGCCCUUGACUUUGGGAUAACUUCAGGAAACUGGGGCUAAUACCGGAUAGGAGCUCCUGCUGCAUGGUGGGGGUUGGAAAGUUUCGGCGGUUGGGGAUGGACUCGCGGCUUAUCAGCUUGUUGGUGGGGUAGUGGCUUACCAAGGCUUUGACGGGUAGCCGGCCUGAGAGGGUGACCGGCCACAUGGGGACUGAGAUACGGCCCAGACUCCUACGGGAGGAAGAAGUGGGGAAUAUUGCACAAUGGGCGGAAGCCUGAUGCAGCAACGCCGCGUGCGGGAUGACGGCCUUCGGGUUGUAAACCGCUUUCGCCUGUGACGAAGCGUGAGUGACGGUAAUGGGUAAAGAAGCACCGGCUAACUACGUG
rnacentral:rRNA from 1 species